UAACACGUGAGUGACCUGCCUUUUAGACUGGAACAACUUACCGAAAGGUGAGCUAAUGCCGGAUGAGUUAUAUAAGUGCAUGUUUAUAUAGGAAAAGUUGGGGAGACCUGACGCUGAAAGAUGGACUCGCGUCCCAUUAGCUAGUUGGUAGGGUAAUGGCCUACCAAGGCGACGAUGGGUAGCCGGCCUGAGAGGGUGGCCGGCCACACUGGGACUGAGACACGGCCCAGACUCCUACGGGAGGCAGCAGUGGGGAAUUUUGCGCAAUGCUCGUAAGAGUGACGCAGCGACGCCGCGUGAAUGACGAAGGCCUUCGGGUCGUAAAGUUCUUUCGACAGGGAAGAAAAUGCCUAUAAGUAACUGUGUAUGUAUUGACGGUACCUGUAUAAGCAGCCCAGGCUAACUCCGUGCCAGCAGCCGCGGUAAUACGGAGGGGGCGAGCGUUGUUCGGAGUGACUGGGCGUAAAGAGCACGUAGGCGGUGUUGUAAGUCAUUAGUCAAAGACUAGAGCUCAACUUUAGUAAGGCUAGUGAUACUAUAAUACUAGAGUAUCAGAGAGGAUUGCAGAAUUCCUGGUGUAGCGGUGAAAUGCGUAGAUAUCAGGAGGAAUACCGUUAGCGAAGGCGGCAAUCUGGCUGGAAACUGACGCUGAGGUGCGAAAGCGUGGGUAGCAAACAGGAUUAGAUACCCUGGUAGUCCACGCUGUAAACGAUGGAUGCUAGGUGU
rnacentral:rRNA from 1 species